UCCUAGUUCUGUCCUAGAGGGCAGCUUCACACCCUGAGUAGUUUAUUCUAGCCUCCAACACCUCAGCUUCUGCAUUUCUAAAAUGGGAGUAAUGAUUCUACCUCCCUCCUCUGUCGCAGUUUGAAGCAAGACUAUGUGGGCCCUUGCAUGGAGCAGGCAGGCCCUGAGCAGAACUGGAAUUGUCUUCAAGAAACCCUUGCUGCCCAUUUGGAGGGCGGUGCCAUGUCACAUAAGGUUUGCAUGUGGCAAGCACUGCCCAGGAGAUCCAGCUCUGAAUGUUAAAGACAGAUUGGAAGCAUCCACGGGCCAACCCUUUUGAAGAUGCCAAACCAGGAAGCACAACUGCCUGAAAAGUCAGCCGUGGCCCCUGGGAGGCUGGAGACAGGGGAAAGAAAACUUGAGAGGUUAAAAUGAAUGAAAAAUAUUUAUUGAUGAUGUGUGAAAAUAGCUUGAUAAAUAUGGCCAUACUGUCUGAGGGUGAACAUGCAUGGAAGAUCAAUUUUGCUAAAAAUCACUAACAAAUAUGUACAAUUCUCAAAACCAAAAACUGCAAUGUUCUAUUCGUUACCAAUAUAUAGGAUCGUUGGGCCAGGAUCUUAAUUUGAAAGGUGGGGCCAAGCCAAAUCUUCAAGAGUUGUUUGGCAACCCUGACAACUGGCAAAGUGAAGAGAAAUUGGUAAACAGUGUUUUUAAAAUACACUAAAUGCCAAGCAAUCUGUAUUUAGUUUCAAGUGUAUAUUUAUGGAUCUCGGCAGCCAUUUUUCAGGAAUAGCAGUUGCAAGUACCCAACUGUUCCAAAUCUCCAGCCUAUUGGAAUAUGUUUGUAAUUCCAAUGGUCUCCCAGAGGAGAUGGACAAACCAGGACAGAAGGCCCAUAAAUAAAAACUGAGCAGAAUUCAUGACCAAAGCCCUUCUGAAGUAGACCUCAAGGGGAACAACUUCCUUCCAGGCACAAGUCUCCAUUCUUGCACUUCCCUGGGCUUCCUGGACUCUUGGAGCCAGCAUUUCUUAUACCCUUUAAUAACCAGCUAAGAUUAACACAGCCUAAGAAUUAUUAAGCUUUUUUGUUUGAAUACUGCAUCUAAGAGUAAAAAUAAAUAAAUGAAAAA